rnacentral:lncRNA from 1 species
UAGAUGAAAUGAGAACCAAUGAUUUAGUAGUAGACAACAAUUUCUUGCUUCCUGCCCUGAAUUUCUGGAAAGGUAUAGUAGUAGACAACAAUUUCUGCCUAUGUAGGCAACAAUACAAUGGGGGAUACACGAUGUUACAAAAGAUACACUUUUGAUACUAUAUAUUACAUUUCCAGUAGCAGAACUAUGGCACUACUCUGCAAGUAGUCUACUUUUCAUAUAGGGAUGCCAAGACAGAAUGGAGCCCGACUGUGUAAAAAUCCGAGUUAUGAUACAUAAAUGGAUUAACUGGCCUCUUCUUCUCCCCUGGAAAAAUCUAUGUCCAUAUCCAAUCCUUCAACUGUGUUCUUGUAGAAGUACAUUACAGAUUCCUGUUGAUCAAAAAGAUUAGAAUCUUGCACAGCAAGUCACCAGAUUGGGAAUCAUGAACAGCUGCGCACGACUAUCGUCAAACUACCUAAAUAUUGCUGCUCAUCAGUCCUAUCUAGGCCUUCCCAAAACGCUACAAACCCUUUAUGGAAAAUACAGAUAGCUACGAUUGAAGUAAUAGCACAAGAACUAAAACCUUCAUCCAUGGUUCGUCUGGGGUCAAAAUUAGAAUGCUUCAUGACUUCUUACAACAUUGAACCAAGACCCACAAACAAUGUAGACACCACGAGAUGCAACGCAAACAAUGAAACAACUGAAACUGCUUGCAAGCUUUACUUGAAGCUCCGCCAAACUGGAGGAUAUGAGAAUCAACAAGGGUACAAACAAGGAACGUGGCAUUCGAUGCACAUUCAAGGCACUGUGGGCACAUGAAUCAUGAUACCAAUUUUGAUCCACUAACCUUGCAUCCCAAUAACUCGAGUUAUUGGGAGAGGAUUCAAAUUGACUUUUAUGUUAUUCAUCAACAUGACCCCAAACAGAACUCUCAGAAGUGCUGAGAUUUGCACAGCUCUAGAAAGUCAUUUCCACAAGUUGGCGAUUACCCAUGUCAUAAACCAUUGCACCCUAAUAACUCAAGUCGUUGGGAGAUGAUUCAGAUUGACUUUUAUAUUAUUUAUCAAACAGGUAGAAGUGAACAUCGAGCAGAACACUAUAAGGAGAAACAAAGCUGUUUUGGCAAGGCAUUUACAGUACCUCCAAUUUACAGACACGCAGGUCCACAGUAAAGCUCACGGCACAUAUCAGCUAGUUCAUAUUAUCAGCUAGUUAGGAAAGGGGUGAGUUGAAGUAGACCAAGUACAAAGACAAAAAAAAGUGCUCAC